rnacentral:rRNA from 1 species
UGGGGAAUAUUGCGCAAUGGGCGAAAGCCUGACGCAGCGACGCCGCGUGGAGGAUGAAGGUCUUCGGAUUGUAAACUCCUGUUGAGUGGGAAAAAAUGGCAAUGCCUAAUACGUAUUGCAGAUGAUGGUACCACUAGAGAAAGCACCGGCAAACUUCGUGCCAGCAGCCGCGGUAAUACGAAGGGUGCAAGCGUUAUUCGGAGUUACUGGGCGUAAAGAGCGUGUAGGCGGUCUGCUAAGUCAGUUGUUAAAGACCUUGGCUUAACUGAGGAAAUGCAGUUGAAACUGGCGGACUAGAGUGCAAGAGAGAGAGAUGGAAUUCUCGGAGUAGCGGUAAAAUGCGUAGAUCUCGAGAGGAACACCAGUAGCGAAGGCGGUCUCUUGGCUUGUAACUGACGCUAAAGCGCGAAAGCGUGGGGAGCAAACAGG